UUGGAGACGAAGCGAUUCGGAGUUGACCUUAAAAUUAUAUGCAGUACAAUCAUUCAUCAUAAACAAAUCGGAGAUAAGUAUUCGUUUUUUUUACAUCAUUACAUCAGUCACCUCGGUCGGGAAACUAUUUUCAUAUUCCCGCCAAGGAUAAACAUCAGUUAUAUUCUAUACAUUACAACACUUUUGACCUUUUUCCUUGUCUUUACAGCUGGCAUGAUCCCAGACUCGUAAUACUUAUUUACCAAAAACCAUCCAAGUUAUGGGAUUGAAGGUAACGGCGAGUUUGUCGCUAAGAUUGGAAUCUUUCUUCAACACAUCAUCGACCGUAAAAAACUUAAGGGACACGAGAGAACAAAAUACGGAUGAAACGUGCUAAUUCUACCGUCACUCUGCUAAUCAGCUGCUAAUCAGCUAAUGCAAAUCAGAGCGAUGCAGCAGGAAGAGGAACGGGAACUUGCUUUGGAAAUGCUCAUCAAAUUGAGGUGGUUGAGGCUGCGGUUAAAAUUUGCCUCUUGUACGCAGUUUAUAGAAUGAU